UAGAAUCAGUGUUUGCAACUACCAAUCCUUAAUUAAAAUAUAAAAUCAACUCAAGUAACAAUUAUCCAAUAUCAAUCUAUCAUUAAAAUGCAACACCCAUCAAUUACCUACAGUAGGGUUGAGCCACAACCCUAGCGAAUGGGUUUAGCUAGACAUAAUUACAGAAAAAACUGAAGAAAUAGAAGAAGAACUAGACAUAUUAAUUGAUUACUAGGAAGAAACUACAAAAAUCUAUUGAGAAUUUAAAGUUAAAGUGCCAAAAAUGGCUAAUAUCUCGAUCUCGAGGUGCACAGUUGCGUUAAUAAUACAAAACUUCACCUAAAAUGGUAAAAUAUACUAUUUAUAGUGGGCUAGAAAAAUUGGACAAAAAUAAUCAUGCGGUGUUAGUGCGAGCCGCACUGGCUCUUUGACUUCAACUUUUAAUCUCUCUGAACUGUUUGGCGCGGGCCGCGUAAAAGGGUAAGGCGGCUAGCGCGGACAGCGUGAAUAAGAUCGAGGCCCCAUGGCUUGCUCUUGACCAAAAUAAGAGCCCUUUGAAUCUCCUAAAGCAUACCACAUGAACAAGUAGUGCGGUUGCGUAAGCCAAAUGCGGGCCGCAUGGAUCUGACCGCGGUCCCAUUGUCAUUGUUCUGAAUAUGCCCCAUCUCUGAACCUCCUAGUGCGGCUGCGUGCACUUUUGUGCGGUCCGCACUAGGCUCACUUUCCUCGCUUUACUUGGUCUUUGAUACUUGAGCUAGUUUCACUCCGUUUUGAGUCGAUGUUUGACAUUUCAUCACUUUGUCGCUCAAACAUGCAAUCAAACACAACCUGUGAGCAUUUUAGGACGAUUUUAUAGCAAUUUAUACUCAAAGCAUAGGCAAUUAAAAUCUUACUUACCACAUUGCUCAGAAGCUAUUUUAUCACAUGAGAAUAGAAAUAUCAAUAUUUUCUAGGUUAAAGAACCAGAUACCACACAUCUGAUUACUCAUAUUAAGCGAUUUCAUUCUUGUACUCCUUCUCAAUUAUCUAGAUUCGAGUCAACUAAUAUUCAGCCAUCAAUGUAGCACUCCAACAAUGAUUCAUUCAGUCAAAUUAAAACAAUCAAAUAUACUAAAACAAAUAAUUUCACAUACAAGUAUCAUAAUAGAAUUAUUAAAAUUAAGAACAAGAGAGGGAUAAACCUUUAUUGCUGCAAUUUUCUGCCAUGUACAACGAAAUAGCAUCUCAAAAAUCAGCCAACCAAAACAAACAAACUAUUUGAUCUAAACCUCGAUGAAUCCUCUGUUUUCUCUGUAGUUGAGCUUUUCCAAUUGAGCAGAAUACGCAAGAGACGCUGACGGAAACUCGAACUACGAGCGACAACAUCGACGAACUAGACUCGAACGCCAGCCGUUCUUCAGCCUUCUUCUGUAUAGCUUUUAGGCGUCCUUUUUCUUUUUGAUUUAAGUCCAAACGGCUGAUUGUUCUUUUGUUCCUAGGGGUUUCUUUUAGGUUUCAUGAGGAAGAUGAUGUUCGGCUGGUCGUUCUUUUGAUUGAGAAAAUCAGGGUGUUCUAAGGUUGAAGAUGCUAAAGAAGAGGGAAAAUGGCGUUAGCUUGUCGAGAAGAUGACACUAGUGUCUUCUCUCCAAAUCCGAAAACGGCGUUGCCUUGUUUUUUAGUGUAUAGGUUUGUAAAGUCCAGGUAAUUUUUAGA
rnacentral:lncRNA from 1 species